rnacentral:rRNA from 1 species
AGUGAACGCUGGCGGUAGGCCUAACACAUGCAAGUCGAACGGCAGCACAGUAAGAGCUUGCUCUUACGGGUGGCGAGUGGCGGACGGGUGAGGAAUACAUCGGAAUCUACUUUUUCGUGGGGGAUAACGUAGGGAAACUUACGCUAAUACCGCAUACGACCUACGGGUGAAAGCAGGGGAUCUUCGGACCUUGCGCGAUUGAAUGAGCCGAUGUCGGAUUAGCUCGUUGGCGGGGUAAAGGCCCACCAAGGCGACGAUCCGUAGCUGGUCUGAGAGGAUGAUCAGCCACACUGGAACUGAGACACGGUCCAGACUCCUACGGGAGGCAGCAGUGGGGAAUAUUAGACAAUGGGCGCAAGCCUGAUCCAGCCAUACCGCGUGGGUGAAGAAGGCCUUCGGGUUGUAAAGCCCUUUUGUUGGGAAAGAAAAGCAGCAGGUUAAUACCCCGCUGUUCUGACGGUACCCAAAGAAUAAGCACCGGCUAACUUCGUG